rnacentral:rRNA from 1 species
CCUACGGGAGGCAGCAGUGAGGAAUAUUGGUCAAUGGCCGGAAGGCUGAACCAGCCAUGCCGCGUGCAGGUCAGUGCCCUAUGGGCGUUAAACUUCUUUUGUGCGGGAGCAAUAAUGGUCACGUGUGGCCAGACGAGAGUACCGUACGAAUAAGCAUCGGCUACCUCCGUUCCAGCAGCCGCGGUUAUACGGGGGAUGCAAGCGUUAUCCGGAUUUAUUUGGUUUAAAGGGUUCGUAGGCUGGGAGGUAAGUCAGCGGUGAAAUGCCCCCGCUCAACGGGGUGAAGUGACAUUGAUACUGGCUUGCUGGAAGGCGGAUGCGGUGGGAGGAAUGUGUGGUGUAGCGGUGAAAUGCAUAGAUAUCACACAGAACACCGAUUGCGAAGGCAUCUCACGAAUCCGCGAUUGACGCUGAUGCACGAAAGCGUGGGUAUCAAACAGGAUUAGAUACCCUGGUAGUC